AUGUGUUUCUAAUUCUCACACCUCUCUUUUUAUUCCCCCAUCCAUCUUCAUUGCAAGUUAAAAAAAAAAACUGAAAAUUGUCGAAAAGGUUUAGGGUUUAAUUUCUUCAUAUUGACUUUACUUGUAGUAGCAAGUACUGAAAGCAUAUUCAUUUCAAGCUUUAAUACUGAUCAAGAGUCUGACGAUCUAAUUCCAUCGAUCGUACAUUUUAUUUUUAAUUACUAAUUAAAAUUUAAAAGCUUUACCUUGACUGUAGUAGCAUACACUAAUGAUUAACGAUAAUAAAUAGACUAAACAGGGCUCAAUUUAUAAUUUGAUAAGUGGCAGCCCACAUACAAUUAGAUUCCAACAAAGCCCUUCGCACAUAUUAAAGGAACAAAAAAGGCAUCAAAACAGGAAAAUUCCAAAUUAUGUCCACUUGCCAAUUAAUUUUGGAUAAGUUUGUGUGAGGUCAUUGACAUGAAGCGAUAAGUAUAACUAGCAUGCGUUUAAUUUUAUGAAGAGGCAACUUUCGGAACUCUAAAUUUAUUAAUAAGUUAUGAAUUUUAGAUUAAUUAGCAAUGUGGGAGGUUCUUUUCUUUUGAAGAGUAUGUUUACAUCUAUGGCCAGU
rnacentral:lncRNA from 1 species